rnacentral:pre_miRNA from 1 species
CAGCAAGAGCCACUCAGACUAGCCAAUGUGACUGCCCAUGAGACCCCACACCAAGGCUAAUUAAACCUUAAGCGAGGAUAAAGACACAAGCAAUCCUUGGCUACCAGAGGUAAGGCCCUUGCAG